UGGAAUAUCAAAGAAAGCAGGUUCUUAUGCUACAUAAUUGUUUCCUCUACUUAUAGUUAACCUCUCUAUUUUGUCGUCUCUAACAGCCAAGAUGAGUGAUCUACUCUUACGGCUCAUGCUAACUGAACUGGUGAUGUUUCUUUCUUCACCUCGAUUGACGCCACAUGUUCCCCCUGGUUGCCGCGUCGUCCUCGUCUUCGGCUUGCAAGGGACUGGAUCUGGUGUGAUUGAUUCUUCCUCUCGCAAGGUAGAGGGACAAAAAUUGAAGAUCCAAAUGAGCGACUCAAAUUCAGGAUUUGAGUUACCAAUGUAGUGUCUACGACUGGCUGAUGGUUCAAGAGUUCGAAGAAAGUCAAGCAGAAGGGAAUACUACACAUGCCCACGCUGCUAUAUGCCAAGGUGCUAGAGGCCACAUAUUGGGCAGGAGCUUUCGUAUGGUGUGCAAGUGCUAGAGGCUACAUAUUGCUGGAAGGUGCUCAAUUCACAUUAGGACAGCCCACCCCCAAGAAGAAAUUAAAACAGAGAUUAUUCACUUUGUGAAGAUCAAUAACAAUGAGGAGCAGGUGCCGGCAGCUAAGGCGUGUUUGUCUGGUACACGUGAGCCAAUUUCUCCUGUUAGGGUGGACGACAUGCAAGCAGCCGCGAUGACGGACAGGCCGCUCUCGCACCACCAGACUCCCUUCAGGGUAGUUACCCACGGGCACGUACUUUUGCCGUUUAUUUUUACUUGUGAUUCCGCUCGUUGUGAACGUGGCUCGAUCCAUGUUGUGGCCCAGUUAUUAUUUUUGUUUUGUUUCGAUGGAUCGUCUUGGCUUGCUUUUGGCCUGAAGUUGUUGCCUUGCUUUUGGCACACCUGAUUCCACUACCUUUUGUUGUUGCUUGGACCAGUUUCUAUGUAAUGAACAUAUUUAUAUCAAUGUUGUGCUUCUGUUAUAAUCUUGCUAUAUUACACUGGUGAUUUUCGGUGAUUACUCUGAUUUCUACUUGCCCCAGUGAGUAUUUACACGGUCAUACUCAUGUUGUAUAAUUCCUUUGGCUAAAUUGUAUAAUUCUGACAGGUUCAUACAUCAUGUUAAGGAGUAUUAAGUUAUAGCACGCUUACUUAGGU